UUUACCCGCUUUUUAAAACUUAGUUUUAUUAAAAAAAUUAGAACAAGUAGGGUUAGUAGCAAAUAUUUUUCCCUCAAGUUUUUCUGCUCAUCCCCAUUCCUCUAGGGUUAAUAUCAAAAAUUUCCCCCCAAUUUUUUUUGGUGAGCACGAUUCGUCUAGGAUUAAUACCAUAAUUUUCCCCCAAUUUUUUUCGGUCAGCUCAAUCAAACCGCUUCUCCGUUCUAUGCUGGACAUCCAACUCGUCCUUAGGACGUCUUCAUGAAUAUAUCAUUUAUGAUAGUCGGAGAUUGAAAAACGAUGGCCAUUUUUUGAGUCUUGGUAGUGUUAAAUUAGAACUUAAGUCGCUGAUUUGUAUCUGGUGUCUUCUCUGAGCUACAAGAAGUUGAUUUUUAUCUGGUUUUCCUGCGAUUUUACUUCUUUGAAAACGUUCUUCUUCUCAGGUGCGACAACUUUUACAAGAUGAACCAGACAACUCCGAGUAUAUUGACAUGGAGAAAGAGCUUGUUGAGGUCUGCGAUAUGUGAUGGUGGCCGGCAAGCUCUAUACCAUGAUUUCAAAUGUCACUAAGUGAAUCUAAGUUUUGAAUUUAAAUAUUAAUUCGUUUCUUGGCUCAAUGUUUGGUCCUUCUUCCUAGCUUGCCUAUCAAUUGAAGUGCUGCUCGACAUUCACAACCGUGGAGAGUAAUUUAAUGACUUCCUAAUUAGAUCUUGCAACAAGCUUUUAUGAGUAUGGUUGGGGUGACUCUUUCUAUUUUGCUCCAAGGUAGGUACUUUGUUCUCUUCUUUUACGAAUGCACUUACUGUUUUCUUAAAAAACAACCAUCAUCAAUAAAAGAGGACAAUUAGUUAUUGUAGUUUCCUUCUUAUAACAGAUGGAAAGGGGAAUCACUUCGAGAAAGUAUCAAACGACAUAAAGACUUUCUUGCUCUACAAUUAGGCGUAAAGCAAGGACAAAAGAUUUUGGAUGUUGGGUGUGUAAUUGGUGGCCCCUUAAGAGAAAUUGCCAGAUUUAGAGUGACCGCCUGAAGCUGCUAGUUGAACACUUGACAACUAUCAAUUUAUUUAACUAUUUCUAUAGUCCUCAGUAAUCAUCUAGGGAAAUUAUCAACUAUGAUACAGACAUUAGACAAGAAGUUAUUGCAGAUGUAAUUGCUCAACUUCAGAUUAUAGGAUUAUUGGAUCCUAAGAUGCUAGCGGCAUUGUCCAUUUCUUCAUCAAAAGAUUCUACCUCUACACUUGUAGAUACUGGGAGAAACAGUCAAAACAAUCAAGGUGAUCAUGAAAUAGAAGAUGGCAAAAACAAAAUUGAUGAACUAGACCUGACCUAAGAGAUCGAUCGCACUGGCUUCAUGUUACACUAGUUGCUGAAAAAUUUGAUCGAGUAGUUUCAAACAUCUUUUAUUUUUGAACAUUCAAAACUUGUGUAUGUUUUGAUCUUUUGGAAUGGUCAAAAAAUAGUUGUUUUUUUGCAUAUGACAUUUUGGGAAUUAAUUGUUACUAAUACUCUUGAUGAUUAUAUGUACAUUUUUUGUGUUA